ensembl:lncRNA
UCCAUGAGUGCAAUUUAAAGAUGUGGUGAAACAUAUCACUCAGGUUCUUAAUUUUACUGUCAGUCACAAUCUUGUCAAUCACAAAAUCAAAAUGUUUAAAAUGAUUAAAGAUGCAUUUGCUUAGAUUUUUUUCAGUACAUUUUUUAUAAUACCCAAUUUGUUUGUUAGCUCUAAUAGAGCUUAAGGAGUCUUUGGAUCACUUAAUAUAACCUCAUGUAUGCCAUAGCCCUUUAAAUUUUACUUGUGCAAGCCAAAUGACUCUUUUCAGUUUAAUGCAAUUUAGUCUUUGAGGUUGAGAUGGCACUAUAUGUCACAUGUAGCAACAGCAAGGGGUUAUUAGUAUGAAUGACCUGGCAGUCAGCCUCUUUCCCAAGCCUCAGAUAAUGGAUCUUUUUAUCCUCUUCCUUUCCCUCAUUCUCCUUCUCCUUUCAAAUUCGUACCAUUACCAUGGGGUAAGACUCCUGCUGAGUCCAAAAUGUCAUGAUUAUUAAAGACUAGCUACACUGACCUGCUAUCUGGGUACUUCAUAUUCAGGUGAUAUCCAAGGUCUCGUGUUUUAUUGGCAAAUUGACUGUUUUCUUGUAUUAUUAUCAGUUUUCAAGUGAACCCACUUCUGAGCAAUCACAAAAACAAACAAACAAACAAACAAAAACAAUAACAAAAAACAAAACAAACAAAACAAACUACAACAACAACAACAACAAACAGAAGUAUAACCAACUGAUCGAAGACCAGAAACUCAAGAUUUUUAAUGCUUUCUGAUUGUAGAGCAACAAAUGUUGUGGAAUGCUAAAGGUUAUAUACACAAUGUGAAAUAGAAUUAGACUCAGGGGAUUCUCAAAUUGUAAGCAUAAACUUUCAGUUUCACUCUCUUAGGAAAAUCUCAGUUGUUUUCAUAAAAACACUACUGUUGUGUCCAGUACGCCCUUCUCUUGCCUCUACCAUCUCACUCCAAGGCUGACACACUGAAGUUCUGAAUUACUUUUCAGUUUUCCUUUAAACUCCAUGAGCACAACAAUGGACAGUGUAAAGCUUACAACAUGAUAUUGCAAAUGCUGCUUUUAUUUCAUUUGCAGAAUUCCUUGAGUAGUCUUUACUAUGUGUGGUGGGGUUUUUUUUUUUUUUUUUUUUUUUUUUUUUUUUUUUUUUUCCUUUUUAUCUUUUGCAUCCUUACCAUUUUUAAAGUCUCAUCCUGGACAACACCAUUGUUUUAAUGUUUACUGCAAAAGGUAAAUAAGACUUGUACACAAGCCUUUAAGCUUUCUCUACUCUUAUUACUUCGUUUUCUCUCACUUGCUUC